GGAAGUCCUUCUUGUGAGUAUCUUUUGUUGUGUUGCCCUGGCUGCCUUGAUGUCCUGAAGUGAUUCAAAAUGUUGAGUUUUCGUGGUCAUUUUGACUUGGGGAAAGAGCCAGAAGUCACACAGUGCCAGAUCUGGUGAGUAAGGUGGAUGAGGAUAUCCUAUAAUAUUUUUAUGAGCUUGUCUUUCUAUAGGACAUGAUUCACUGUAAUUUUGAUCACACCUGGUAAAGACCUGAAAGGGGACUUUUCCACUGAAAUAUGGAAAAGGAAAAUGGGGAUAUUGUGAAUAUGUGUAGAAUAUCAAUUUAUGUUUUCUGUUUUUCAACAUGAAGUCAUAUUUUUUUCUGAGAUAAGACUCUAACAUAUCCUAUUAUACUCUUACUUGGAACCCACAAAAGGACUAUGACACCAUUGCUACCAAUGCUCCAUCUUGUCUAGAUAGUUUGAAUUAAAAUGAGUUGAAUAAUACCAAGAGCUAUUUUUAAACUUGCAUAUUUGCUGUAUUUCUCUCAUAGAGGAAGAAGGCCUGCUCAUUUUCCAUCUUCAUCCCUGUGUCAUUUAAUAACUUCCCUGCGUGCGGUGGUGGGGCUGCUGGUAUGGGCAGAACCUGAACAUUUAUUUGUACAGAUACUCUCCAGAGGUGUACUUGUCCAGACAAUGGCCAGACCUCAGCGGCAGGCGUGGGAAGACCUGAAAGGCCUGACCAGGGAGAGCUGCAUAUGUACCAUCUGGGGGCAGUGAUGGAAGGAGCAGUGUCUACCCAGUCUUGGACAUAAGAACCCCAACUCCCACAGAAGUUAAUGGCCUUGGCAUAUGCAUUGCAGGGAGCCUGGCCGUUCACAGCCCUGAGAGGCAGUCACACAUGUGUAAAGGUAGGUAUUUUCUUUGCAUUUAUUGGGCUGUGACCUUUAGAAAGUGAGCCAAGUUGGCUGUGGUUUAACUGUCCUCAGUUUCCCUUCUAACACACUUACCACUCCUUGCACUGCCCCAACCGGUAGGGGCAGGGUUGACUUUGAGCCUCUUCCAAGAAUCAACCACAUCUGACAGAGCCCAGAAAUAGAACAGGCCUGAGAAAGCAAAGCCCCACCAGCCACACCAGUGCGCGGGUCACCCACUGUGUCCCCUCCUCCCCAGGGAUCUGCUCUGUGCUGAUGAAGUUCAGGGUGGCUGAGAGGGUUGGAGAAGGAAGGUGUUGAGGUGUUUGAACCCCCAGGGGACCCUGCCCCUGCUUGGCCUGAGACAUCAGCC
rnacentral:lncRNA from 1 species